CAGUGCAGCCACCCAUAAAGUAGAAAGCACUACUAGAUAGGACUGAACGCUGUAGUGUUUCCUACUUUAUGGAUGAGUGUACUGG
rnacentral:pre_miRNA from 1 species